rnacentral:tRNA from 1 species
GGUGCUGUAGCUCAGUGGUUGAGCACUUGUCUUGCAUGUGUGAGGCACUGGGUUCCAUCCUCAGCACCA